UACGGAGGGCGCGAGCGUUAAUCGGAAUUACUGGGCGUAAGCGCGCGUAGGCUGUUGUGUAAGUUGGGGGUGAAAUCCCACGGCUCAACCGUGGAACAGCCCUUGAUACUGCGCGACUUGAAUCCGGGAGAGGGUGGCGGAAUUCCAGGUGUAGGAGUGAAAUCCGUAGAUAUCUGGAGGAACAUCAGUGGCGAAGGCGGCCACCUGGACCGGUAUUGACGCUGAGGCGCGAAAGCGUGGGGAGCAAACAGG
rnacentral:rRNA from 1 species